GGAAAGCUCAGUGGCAGAGCACUUGUUUUGCACGCAGGAGGUCCCAGGUUCAACCCCAGACAUCUCCA